GACGAACGCUGGCGGCGUGCUUAACACAUGCAAGUCGAGCGAUGAAGCUCCUUCGGGAGUGGAUUAGCGGCGGACGGGUGAGUAACACGUUGGUAACCUGCCUCAUAGAGGGGAAUAGCCUUUCGAAAGGAAGAUUAAUACCGCAUAAGAUUGUAGCUUCGCAUGAAGCAGCAAUUAAAGGAGUAAUCCGCUAUGAGAUGGACCCGCGUCGCAUUAGCUAGUUGGUGAGGUUACGGCUCACCAAGGCGACGAUGCGUAGCCGACCUGAGAGGGUGAUCGGCCACAUUGGGACUGGGACGCGGCCCAGACUCCUACGGGAGGCAGCAGCGGGGAAUAUUGCACAAUGGGGGAAACGCUGAGGCAGCAACGCCGCGUGAGUGAUGACGGUCUUCGGAUUGUAAAGCUCUGUCUUCAGGGACGAUAAUGACGGUACCUGAGGAGGAAGCCACGGCUAACUACGUGCCAGCAGCCGCGGUAA
rnacentral:rRNA from 1 species